rnacentral:rRNA from 1 species
GAAUUUUAUAUUCAGUUUAUUAAUAAAAUAAAUAAUUUAAGUAAAAGUGAGCGGAAUAUUUAGUUGGGAGGAUUAUUAAAUUUUAUAAACUUUGAUAAUAUAAAAUAUAGAUAAAUAGAAUUAAUUAAGGAGGGCUAAUAAAAUUGAGUAAGAAUUAAUUACCUCAGGGAUAACAGCGUAAUAUUUUUAGGGAGACCAAAUUUAUAAAAAUGAUUGC